rnacentral:rRNA from 1 species
UACGUAGGGUGCGAGCGUUAAUCGGAAUUACUGGGCGUAAAGUGUGCGCAGGCGGCCGAGCAAGUCGAGUGUGAAAGCCCCGGGCUUAACUUGGGAAUUGCGCUCGAAACUACUUGGCUGGAGUGUGGCAGAGGAAGGUGGAAUUCCAGGUGUAGCGGUGAAAUGCGUAGAGAUGUGGAGGAACACCGAUGGCGAAGGCAGCCUCCUGGGCCAGCACUGACGCUCAUGCACGAAAGCGUGGGGAGCAAACAGG